GAUGAACGCUGGCGGCGUGCCUAAUACAUGCAAGUCGAGCGAACAGACGAGGAGCUUGCUCCUCUGACGUUAGCGGCGGACGGGUGAGUAACACGUGGAUAACCUACCUAUAAGACUGGGAUAACUUCGGGAAACCGGAGCUAAUACCGGAUAAUAUAUUGAACCGCAUGGUUCAAUAGUGAAAGACGGUUUUGCUGUCACUUAUAGAUGGAUCCGCGCCGCAUUAGCUAGUUGGUAAGGUAACGGCUUACCAAGGCAACGAUGCGUAGCCGACCUGAGAGGGUGAUCGGCCACACUGGAACUGAGACACGGUCCAGACUUCUACGGGAGGCAGCAGUAGGGAAUCUUCCGCAAUGGGCGAAAGCUUGACGGAGCAACGCCGCGUGAGUGAUGAAGGUCUUCGGAUCGUAAAACUCUGUUAUUAGGGAAGAACAAAUGUGUAAGUAACUAUGCACGUCUUGACGGUACCUAAUCAGAAAGCCACGGCUAGCUACGUG
rnacentral:rRNA from 1 species